rnacentral:rRNA from 1 species
GUCAGCUCGUGCCGUGAGGUGUCCGGUUAAGUCCGGUAACGAGCGCAACCCCUAUGUUUAGUUGCCAGCACGUAAGGUGGGAACUCUAAAGAGACUGCCGGCGACAAGCCGGAGGAAGGCGGGGACGACGUCAAGUCAUCAUGGCCCUUAUGCCUUGGGCUACACACAUGCUACAAUGGCGGAUACAAUGGGUUGCCAAACCGUGAGGUGGAGCCAAUCCCAUCAAAGUCCGUCUCAGUUCGGAUUGCAGGCUGCAACUCGCCUGCAUGAAGUUGGAAUCGCUAGUAAUCGUGGAUCAGCACUGCCACGGUGAAUACGUUCCCGGGCCUUGCACACACCGCCCGUCACACCACGAAAGUCGGUUCUGCCCGAAGUGGUUGAGCUAACCCGCAAGGGAGGCAGGUCCUAG